UACGUAGGUGGCAAGCGUUGUCCGGAUUUAUUGGGUUUAAAGGGUGCGUAGGUGGUUUAAUAAGUCAGUGGUGAAAGCUGGUUGCUCAACAAUCAAGUUGCCAUUGAUACUGUUAGACUUGAGAGAAGUGGAGGCUGGUGGAAUGGAUGGUGUAGCGGUGAAAUGCAUAGAUAUUAUCCAGAACGUCAAUUGCGAAGGCAGCUGGCUGUACUUUUUCUGACACUGAGGCACGAAAGUGUGGGGAUCAAACAGG
rnacentral:rRNA from 1 species